UUACUUUUUAGCAUAUUGCUAAUUAAUUAUAAAUAUUCUAAUUUUAAUUUUUUUGUAUUACAAGUUAUUAACCAAAUAUAUUACUUUUAUGUUUUAACUAAUAUUUUUAUUCCUUUUUCAAUAUUAUUUAAUUAAAAUUGUCUCAAACAAAAAUAUUUUUACUUAUCUUAUUCAAAAAAAAAUUGUAAUACCCCUCACUCGUCCCAAUAGUCAGUACAAGCAUGAGACGCUAACAGGAUAUUUUCAGAGUAAAAUCAAUACUUUAUGUAAGAAAAUAAAUGAUAAAAUUUAUAAAAUUAUAUAAAAAUAUUUAAAUUCUAUCCAUAAUGAGUUUUGUUCCUUCAAAAAAAAAUCCAAAAAUCAUAUAGUGCCAAUUAAAACAAAAGAACUAGGUAAUUUGUAAAAUAUAAGGAUGUUACUUAAUUUAUUAAAGGAAUUUAUAAGAAAUUAAGUAAAACCAAAAGCAUUAACCGUACGUUAAGUUGCCGCCUAGGUGGUCAAAGCUCCCGCCUAAACGGUAUUGGAGUUAUUAGUUUUUCUUUUCGCUAAGGCAUGGCUCAGGCCACCGCCUAGGUGAUACUAACUAAAAGUGAUUGUUCGACAAGGACCCACCUAGGCGGCACUACAACCUUUCACAAGUUCACCCUUUCUUGAAUUGUAACUAAUUUCUUAAGCCUUCAACCACUAACCAUAACAAAAACCAAUCUUUGGGAUAUUAAAAGUCGCAUUUUAUUAGUCGAGAACAAACACUGAAACACCACAAACUAGACUUUUACAAACCACAUUCGAAAAAUAGAUCAAAAGUCACAAUCUACGCUCAUAUAACAUGUUCAAAAUGAGGUAUAACAUGUCAUAACAACCAAGAUAUUAAGCUAGCCUGUUAAACCUAUACAAAAUCAAUCUAAAGCAUGGAAAACCAAGGCUUGUAUACAUACAUUCAAAAGAUAUAAAGUUUGGCUCAAGGUCAAUAAAAAAUAAACAAAUUAGAACUAUUACAACUAAUAGUUAUAUGAAACAUUUAUAUAUGCAUCCCUAAAUGAGUUUUCUAAUACAUGCCACUAGGUAUCAAUUGUAAAUACAAAUAUUUCAUACCAUUCAAUGUUGAUAAUGGUGUUUGCUUGUGAUUCUCAAAAAGCACCAAGCUUUGAUUCAGAAGACCUACUCGAAAAAAUAAUGGCGCAUCAAGCAUAAAGCUUAGUAAGAUAAUAUGAAAAUUCCAUAUAUACUUACCUUUUAAACAAUAAAUCGAACUUUAUAAAUAAUUUGUAAAACAUUUGAAAAACAAUGCUCAUAAUAUCUAUUAAAAAAUUUAGAAAUCAGAAAACCUAAUUAGUUUUCAAAAUGACAGUCUAUAAAUAAUAACAUCUGUCAAGUUCAAGAAAUCAUUUAUAAAAUAACAAAAAUAGUUUGAUUUCAGCCCAUAGUAAGCCUAAAUAAAUAAAGAGGGGAUGUUAAGGACUAAUUGGCCAGAGCCACCAUAACAGAAACGCUGAAGCGUGAGUGUUCGAAAACCAGAUCAGAAUCGCACCAAAGUGCUAGUAACCGAAGUAUCGAAGUACUAAUAACAAAAUACCAUAGCACUAGUAACAGAAGUCCCCUAUUGUCAUGCCAAUAUCCAAACCAUUUUAACUAAGCUACUAGGGCCUUGUUUCAGAAUCUCUGGAAUGCCAAUGUUAAAAAUCUCUAACCAAGUUUAUAGUUUGAAACAAUAUUCGAGGCAGUAAACACUAUAUCAUGAAAUAAUAAUUUCAACCAUAGCAUUAAGUUACUAAAUCAAGUGUCAAACUCAUAUUAACUUAUCUACAAGAAACUUAACUUGAAAAUCAUUUACAAAAUUGUUUUCUUGUCAUUAAUCACACUUUCAUAGCAUUAAGACGUUUACAUACCAUAACAUAUUCAUAUUGAUAAUAAUAUCAAUUCAAUUAGAAGAAAUAUUAAUUCAAAAUAAGUAAAUUAAUGUGUUUUCCAAAUAUCUUAGAACACUAAAAUUUUCGAAAGUGUUGGAGAAGACUAAAUCUACCUUAAUUAACAAGCUUUUCCUUUCCCUUGCAAGCACCCUCCUUUCAUUCUUCAAUUUCUCUCAUGAACAAUAAAUAACCAUUAACACACAAUAAACAUGAGACUAAGCAUGGAUGAAAUGAAAACUAUAAAAUCUAUACAUGAAUACCUCUUUUCAACUUCCUAUUACAUUUUCUCACAUUAGGGCUCAAACCUUAAAACACUUGAAUGAUGGAAAUUAUGAGGGAUAAUGCUCAAUAAAGGUUUAAUGAUGAUGGAUUUAAAAGAAAUUGAUGGAAAGUGAUGAAAAAUGGUGAGAAUUAGUAGUAAGAGAAAUGAGUAAAGAAAAAGAUGAAGAAAUGUGGAGAACCUUCUCCCCCUUUUUAUGGUCGGCUGGUAUAGAAGGAAAAAGAUGAUGUUAUCAUCUUUCUUUUAACAUC
rnacentral:lncRNA from 1 species